UGUUCUGUAGCUUAGUUGGUUAAAGCGCCGGACUAGCGAUAACGGAGUCGUGGGUUCGAAUCCCACCAAAAUAA
rnacentral:tRNA from 1 species